rnacentral:lncRNA from 1 species
UGAGGUCGCGGUAUGAGCGGCAUGAAAAUGUAAAUUUUCGUUGCUUUCACAAUGCUACUACGUCCUCGUUACGCGUCUACAACGACUCCGCUACGAUUAUACCACGUUCUCACCGCGCUUAUUCUGCGACCUCACUACGCUUAACAAGAUCUUUCUACGCUCUUCACGUUCUCACUACGACCAUACCACGAGUUAUCCGAUUGCAACACGAUCUUACCACGCUUCUACUGCGAUUAUAGCACGUUCUUACCACGAUUAUAUUACGUUCAUACCGCGAUCUUACUAUGUUCUCAGCAAUAACGUCAACAUCGUGUUC